UAGGAAAAAGAGAGGCUUGUGGGUCUUC
rnacentral:piRNA from 1 species